GAAAGAACCUCUCUACAGACAACCACUCUGGGAGUUUUUCUCUUCUUCUCCUCUCUGGUCCUGCCCCUCCUAUUCACUAUCUAUUAGAGUGAAGCAUUCUCAAACUGUGUUCAAGUACACAGCCCUCCCUAAGUACCUUGUCAGGUAAUCUUGGAAAUAAACUAUACAGUGAGCAGAGCUAUAAGGAUAUAGACACAAUUAGUUUGCCCCAUAUUCCAGGUUGUUCUUGCCUUCACAGAUAUAUCUUUCUAGUUUUGAGUUUUCCACCAGGCUAAAAUUAAUCCUCUUAGCUCUUUACAUUACUGAAAAACAGGACCUCUAGUCUAUUUCUCUGGCAUGCAGUUCAAAACUGCUCUUUUGAAACCCUAAUUUAGUUAGUAUCUCCUUAAAUAUAACCACAGAAAUUUCCUGAUGGGUUUUUCUCAAGGAUUUUUAUCUCAGCAGAAUUAAAGCUGUGACUUUUAUAAUGAUGAACACAUUUUAGUUUCCCAGAGUUCUUUCUAAGCUAAAACAAAUGUCUAUAGGAUUUUGAAAAGCCUUUUCAUUUUUCUGUACAUUCCCCAACCCACUCUUAAUUUGUACUGUAACAGUGGUGAUGUUAUGUAUCUCACAUCUGCCAUACACUCAUUAGUUUGAUAAGAAAGGCUAAUUUAACAGCCACAUCUUGCCUGGAGACUUUCCUCUGUAUUAUUUGUGUAAACAAAACUACCACACUGCAUUCAAUUGGAGUUAAACUUUCCAGAUUCCAUUCAAAGUAGGCCUGCUUCAAGAUUCAUGAUGAGAGAAACUUCAGAGUGAGUAGAAGCUUAUUAAAGAGAUUAGUCUGCCAAUAACAUCUACUGAAUGAUGAUUCAAUACUAUGUAUGCAUGGAUGUAUAUGUGUAUAUAUGUGUGAAGUUGAUGUACCUUAUUGAGUAGCCAUUAGGUUUCUUGUUACGAUACAAUGAGAAACACUGUCCUUGCCAUCAUCUUACUCUUCUCCAAAUGACUGCUGUUUUCUUAGACUGCAUAUAAAUGGAGUUGUUUCUGGUUAACUAUUCUUAGCAAGGGAGACCACAUUAUAUAGCUCACUAGCUAAUCAUGGGAGGGAUUUCAAUUAAAAUGUAGCAAUAGUGAGGGCCAUGGAGACAGAAGACUACA
rnacentral:lncRNA from 10 species